AUUGAACGCUAGCGGGAUGCCUUACACAUGCAAGUCGAACGGCAGCACGGAUUUCGGUCUGGUGGCGAGUGGCGAACGGGUGAGUAAUGUAUCGGAACGUGCCCAGCAGCGGGGGAUAACUACGCGAAAGCGUAGCUAAUACCGCAUACGCCCUACGGGGGAAAGCAGGGGAUCGCAAGACCUUGCACUAUUGGAGCGGCCGAUAUCGGAUUAGCUAGUUGGUGGGGUAACGGCUCACCAAGGCGACGAUCCGUAGCUGGUUUGGGAGGACGACCAGCCACACUGGGACUGAGACACGGCCCAGACUCCUACGGGAGGCAGCAGUGGGGAAUUUGGGACAAUGGGGGAAACCCUGAUCCAGCCAUCCCGCGUGUGCGAUGAAGGCCUUCGGGUUGUAAAGCACUUUUGGCAGGAAAGAAACGUCAUGGGUUAAUACCCCGUGAAACUGACGGUACCUGCAGAAUAAGCACCGGCUAACUACGUGCCAGCCGCCGCGGUAAGAC
rnacentral:rRNA from 1 species